UCCCUGGUGGCUCAGUGGUAAAGAAUCUGCCUGCCAAUGCAGGAGACACAGGUUCAAUCCCUGGUCCGGGAA
rnacentral:tRNA from 1 species